rnacentral:rRNA from 1 species
GACGAACGCUGGCGGCGUGCUUAACACAUGCAAGUCGAACGGAAAGGCCCUGCUUUUGUGGGGUGCUCGAGUGGCGAACGGGUGAGUAACACGUGAGUAACCUGCCCUUGACUUUGGGAUAACUUCAGGAAACUGGGGCUAAUACCGGAUAGGAGCUCCUGCUGCAUGGUGGUGGUUGGAAAGUUUCGGCGGUUGUGGAUGGACUCGCGGCUUAUCAGCUUGUUGGUGAGGUAGUGGCUUACCAAGGCUUUGACGGGUAGCCGGCCUGAGAGGGUGACCGGCCACAUGGGGACUGAGAUACGGCCCAGACUCCUACGGGAGGCAGCAGGGGGGAAUAUUGCACAAUGGGCGGAAGCCUGAUGCAGCAACGCCGCGUGCGGGAUGACGGCCUUCGGGUUGUAAACCGCUUUCGCCUGUGACGAAGCGUUAGUGACGGUAAUUGGUAAAGAAGCACCGGCUAACUACGUG